UUAUAUUUAAUUUAGUUUGGAUAAAAUAUAUAAAUAAUAAUAAUAUAUUUUAUAUAUUAACUUCUAUUAAUAGAAUAAUUAUAAAUUUAUAUAUGUAUAUAUAUUAAUAAUAAAUAUGUAUUUUUAUUUUUUUAAUAAAUAUAAUUUAAA
rnacentral:tRNA from 2 species